GGCAUUGGGCUAUUCCAUUUAAUAUCCGUACCCCCCCCCUGUCGAGGAUCCCUGGAAUUCUUCAGGGGUAAAGUGUUUUGAGCUUGGAAUUCUUCAGGGGUAAAGUGUUUUGAGUUUGGAAUUCUUCAGGGGUAAAUGGUUUUGAGCUUGGAAUUCUUCAGGGGUAAAGGGUUUUGAGCUUGGAAUUCUUCAGGGGUAAAGAGGUUUGAGAUUGAAAUUUUUCAGAGCUUGGAAUUCUUCAGGGGUGAAGGGUUUUGAGCUUGGAAUUCUUCAGUGGUAAAGUGUUUUGAGUUUGGAAUUCUUCAGGGGUAAAUGGUUUUGAGCUUGGAAUUCUUCAGGGGUAAAGGGUUUUGAGCUUGGAAUUCUUCAGGGGUGAAGAGGUUUGAGAUUGAAAUUUUUUUGAGCUUGGAAUUUUUCUGGGGUAAAAGGUUUUGAGCUUGAAAUUCUUCAGGGGUAAAGGGUUUUGAGCUUGGAAUUCUUUAGGGGUGAAGGGUUUUGAGCUUGGAAUUCUUCAGGGGUAAAAGGUUUUGAGCUUGGAAUUCUUCAGGGGUAAAGGGUUUUGAGCUUGGAAUUUUGGAAUUCUUCAGAGGUAAAAGGUUUUGAGCUUGG